rnacentral:rRNA from 1 species
UACGAAGGGGGCUAGCGUUGCUCGGAAUUACUGGGCGUAAAGGGUGCGUAGGCGGGUCUUUAAGUCAGAGGUGAAAUCCUGGAGCUCAACUCCAGAACUGCCUUUGAUACUGAAGAUCUUGAGUUCGGGAGAGGUGAGUGGAACUGCGAGUGUAGAGGUGAAAUUCGUAGAUAUUCGCAAGAACCCCAGUGGCGAAGGCGGCUCACUGGCCCGAUACUGACGCUGAGGCGCGAAAGCGUGGGUAGCAAACAGG